ensembl:miRNA microRNA 181b-1
AGGUCACAAUCAACAUUCAUUGCUGUCGGUGGGUUGAAUUGUGUGGACAAGCUCACUGGACAAUGAAUGCAACUGUGGCC